AUAUAUGCCAAUAGAUCAGCGGUACGGGCGCGGCACGCCGCGCCAAUGCUUCCUAGUAAAAGUUGGAAGGUUUAACGCUUUUGAGUUGAUCGGGGCACUGUAGAUACUCUAUUUUUCUGAUCGCUGAUUGGUCUCUCUGUCCCUUUAACGGUCGGUCGGUUAGUGUCCUGUGAAAUCUUGCUUUUCAGUUCAAUUUAUUUUGUUCACAAUUUAUCCGGUAACUCCCGAUGUCAUCCGGUUUUCCGGUGCAUGUGGGCUCCACCCUCCACCGCUUACCCUUCUACUACAUUCUUUUCUCACAAUCCGCCGCCCCAAAGCAGAGACGCCGGUCAACAUCCAGUUUCCCCCCUCCUCCAGGCAGCAGGUCGUCCCGCUCCUCGACGGCCCAGUCGAACACCGCCCAUGAAGGUUGUCAAAAAGGGUCUCGACCGUGCGUUGCUCAGCUGCGCGCCGUCGCCGGCCACCACACCACAAACUAGUGGAGGUUCUCAGCAUCGCGUGCACCGGCAACUUGGCAAGAGGAUGCCGUUCUUCGCGGGACCGGUCGAGCUGCACGAUGGUGGACGACGAGGGACGCCUCCUCAGCGUGGUAUUCUCGACAGCCUCAUGGACGAACGCGGCAUCGGAAUCUCCAAUCUUCCGGCUGCUCGGCGGACGCAGCAAUCUCAUGGUCAAUCCGUAAACAGUGCCAUCUGUGGAAGGGGUGCGUGUAGGGGUAGCGCCCCGAUGGUGAGGAGCUGCCCGAGGCCGUUGCCUCAGGAGGGAGCCAUCCCUCGCGCCGCAGCUAAGGCGAGGCGGAGCAGGGCAGGGAAGCGACCACCACGGGAGCCCCACGGCCGCCACGGCUGCACUGUAGCCCCAAAACUGAAACACACUUUGAUUUGUUGGGGGCGUUGAGGUUCAGCAGGAGCUAGGAGUCCCACAAGCAGGGUCUGUAGAUCCUGUGAAGAUUGGGGAACGAGGGCAGCCGAAGAGAUAUAGUACGACUAUACAGACUAUACGAGGCAACCUAAGGUACUUGCCUGAAUUCUAAUUUCCAACAUACAGUAGUACUGUAGUAAUUUUCAAUGUGGGUUUGACAAGAUACACAAGGGAGACACAAAAGGGAUGCAACAUGAUUGUUUUAUUUCAGCCGUCCAAUCAUGUCAAGCACCUUUUUGAAUUCUUAGCAAUUUCUUGACCGUUUCAGGGCUGAUGGUUUCUGAUACUCAUUUUUUACUACUGUACUUAUGGUCAACAUGGAAGUAGAAAAGACAAGCAAUAAUUAGUAGUAGAAGAUAUGUUUUCAUGGUUCUAAAUUUCUAAUAAGUUUGUUUGCAAUUUAGUACUAUGGAUGGAGCGUUGCUCUUGCAAUUGGUCCGAAUAAGUGCACCAUGUUUUACAAACUUUCAGAGAAUAAUAGAUAGGAGAAGGAGAGAUGCAAUUGGAGCCGGUUACAAAUUCGCUCCACAGUUGCAAAUGGAAGCCUAAGGUCUCUUUGACCUUGCUGGAUAAAUGUUUGGCUCUCCAUUUUAACAAGAGGGUGAUAGAGUAAAGUUGUUGCCUCAAAUUAAAAAGAUAAGAUGGAGAGAAGGUUCAGUUUAACACUGUUCACAGUAUUUUGCAUAGAUCUUAUCUCGGUUCAUGUGAAUUGCUGGAAUUUAACCAAUGAAGUUUCAACUAACUUUUGAAAGGGCACAAUUUGAACAACUAAAACGCCAAGCUUGCCCAUUGAAUUAAAUAUGGAGUUAUAGUUUUUUUUUUCAUGUUAUUUGGUACAUGUGUGCCUUGCUUUUGGUUUCUCUAAAAUGUUUACUUAUAUUACUUUAUAUGAAUCUAGAGCACCAGUAAACAGGGUUGUUCCACUGCUAGGGAAUUGUGCUACGGCUAAUGUUGAUGGUCCAUGCUUUGUAGAUUCAGAGAUGGGAGCUUGCUACUUGACCAGAGGUAACAGUACCGUACUACAUGGAUCUAUGGUAUUAACCUGAGGAGGUAACCAAUUUUGAAUGUAGGUUGGAAGCAGCUUUGACUUGCCCCGGAUGUAGUACCAAGUGCAGCUGCAACUUUCAACUACAGGCAAACAUGCUUAAUUGUAAUUUAGCUAGCUCAGGAAACGGGAAAGUUAUAUAGAAUGUUAUUUAGACAUUAAAGUGAGUACUUGAGUGCUAAUCACCUCUGCUCGGUCAUAGAAAUGCAACCCAGCUUAGGUGCUGAACAUUUUCAGUAGACAUGGUCCAAUACUUUUUUCCUCUUUUAUUCAAACCACCUUUCAAAACUUUUUUCUUAGCAAUUAGUUUUAUUCUCUUAAACUUUAUUUUUGGUCUCUAUAUUCUCUGCUACUACAGAAUUGGGGAGCAACUUGACGACAUUACGCAGUUUGGUCGGCUAGGCUGCUGCAACGCUAGGGGAGAAGGACAUCGGUGUAGAGCAUGGCGAGGCUGAAUAGUUGUUGUAUUUGAGAAUAUCCGAUCGGUAGUUGUACGUAUGAACACCCAUUAGCAUCUGUUGUUGGAGCUGCAGAAGGCCUUCUCCCCUACAAUUGAAGGUCAGGUCCACUUCCCAUUGUGAACCUUAUGUCGAGCUCCCAGUUUGAAAUACCAUUUAAGUUUCUGUAUGGAGUUCCAAAACUGGGAGCCCUUAGAACUCGUUACCCUCUCCUCUUUGGGUGCUGCUCCGACCCCUUCGCCACGGUCCAUUCGACUAGGGUGGUCGAGGGUAGCCCCGGGGAGUGGCGCAUCCGGUUCCGACGGCACCUUGGCUUGGCGGAAAAGGUCGAAUGGGAUGAUCUAUGCCGUGAAAUACAAGGGCUCCCGGACGAAGUAGGGAAUGAUUAGAUUUCUUGGUCCCUGGAGCCCUCAGGGGUAUACUCGACGCGGUCGGUGUAUUGUGGACUCCUGCAGGGUGCAGCAGUUACACACUUCAAGGAGGUGUGGCGGACACGUGUCCCACCCAAGAUCAAAGUCUUCCUUUGGCAGUUGAUACGGGGAAAGCUACCCUCCUGCGAACAGGUGGCCAAGAGGCGAGGGCCGUCCAAUGGCCUUUGCGCUCUUUGUGGUGAGGUGGAGGAUUGCAACCACAUUUUCUUCACCUGCCCCAUGGCGGGAUACAUGUGGGCCGGGGUUAGGGAACUCCUACACUGUACUUGGAACCCGGCGGGGGUCGGGGACUUCCUUGCCUUAGCACAGGGUUUGCUAGGACCCCUUCGUAGAUUAGUAUGGUUUACCUUUGCGGCCCAAUGCUGGGCCCUCUGGCAUAUUAGGAACAAACUAACUAUUGAAGGGAAACUGAUCGGCAAUGCAGCUGACGCAUUCUUCCACAUGUUGCUUUAUAUGCAGUCUUGGAGGGUUCUGGUCAGACCGAGGGAUCGUGCGUUGCUGGACUUGGCGGUGGACGAGGUCAGGAGGCUACAUGCGCGGACUAGGGCGACUUAGCACAUUCGACCCGCUUCAGGGCUUUGUAUCUUACCGCUUUGUUCUUGUGGUGCUGGGCUUAGCACAGGACGUGUUAGUUAUGGUUUUACCCGUUCUUUGCUGCGCGUGUGUGGCGUGAGUCGUGUGGUUGGUUGUAAACUCUGACUUUGGUCGCUUGCUUUAUUUAUAAAGCUGGGUCUACGGACCUUCGGUUUAAACAAUUGAAGGUCAAGAGCAAAAGAGACCGAGAAAGAAUUAAACACUGUCGUUUCGAGUUCUCCUUUGCUUUCAGUUGUUCUGUCUGAGGCGGAUGAUCUGCGAUGGCAGUCGAUCGUAGCACUGGUGAUUUUUCUAUUGUUCGAUGUUCUCCGCUGCAUUGUUAUUUAUCCAUAUGUUGUCCUGCUAAUGCCUUAUGUCUUCAGUCUUUUCUUACAGUAAUUUGUUUCCAUGCUUCAUCUGUUUAUUGUGCAGGUGAUGCUGCAUUGGACGGUUUA